rnacentral:rRNA from 1 species
UCGUGGAGUGAUCUGUCUGCUUUAUUGCGAUAACGAGCGAGACCUUAACCUGCUAAAUAGCCCGGCUAGCUUUGGCUGGUCGCCGGCUUCUUAGAGGGACUAUCGGCUCAAGCCGAUGGAAGUUUGAGGCAAUAACA